GCGCGCAAAUCACCCAAUCCCGAUACGGGGAGGUAGUGACAAUAAAUACUGAUACGGGGCUCUUUCGGGUCUCGUAAUUGGAAUGAGAACAAUUUAAACCCCUUAACGAGGAACAAUUGGAGGGCAAGUCUGGUGCCAG
rnacentral:rRNA from 1 species